CCCUUCCCUAUUAUUUAGUUAUGCCCCUCUUCACCAACUUCGAAUGAGCUGAAUGAAAUUGGAGAAGGGGUUUGUUAGCUCGUGGGCUGUAAGCCCAGCAGGUCCUACUAUCAGUAGAGAUGAACUGAACGUCAAGAAAGCGAGGCAUAUUGUUGACAGGCAUUUCAAAAGUCAC
rnacentral:lncRNA from 1 species